rnacentral:rRNA from 1 species
AGUCAACCUACCCUAUGGACGGGAAUAAUCUCGGGAAACUGAGGAUAAUGCCCGAUAGAACACUAUGCCUGGAACGGCUUGUGUUCCAAAUGAUUUAUCGCCGUAGGAUGGGACUGCGGCCUAUCAGUUUGUUGGUGAGGUAAUGGCCCACCAAGACUAUUACAGGUACGGGCUCUGAGAGGAGUAGCCCGGAGAUGGGUACUGAGACACGGACCCAGGCCCUAUGGGGCGCAGCAGGCGAGAAAACUUUGCAAUGUGCGAAAGCACGACAAGGUUAAUCCGAGUGGUUCCUGCUAAAGGAACCUUUUGACGGUCCUAAAAACACCGUUGAAUAAGGGGUGGGCAAGUUCUGGUGUCAGCCGCCGCGGUAAAACCAGCACCUCAAGUGGUCAGGAUGAUUAUUGGGCCUAAAGCAUCCGUAGCCGGCUCUGUUAGUUUUCGGUUAAAUCUGUGCGCUCAACGUACAGGCUGCCGGGAAUACUGCAGAGCUAGGGAGUGGGAGAGGUAGACGGUACUCGGUAGGAAGGGGUAAAAUCCUUUGAUCUAUUGAUGACCACCUGUGGCGAAGGCGGUCUACCAGAACACGUCCGACGGUGAGGGAUGAAAGCUGGGGGAGCAAAUCGGAUUAGAUACCCGGGUAGUCCCAGCUGUAAACUAUGCAAACUCAAUGAUGCACUGGCUUGAACCCAAUGCAGUGUU